rnacentral:lncRNA from 1 species
UAGCUAUAGGUUAAAGACAGUGCAUAUGAUAAUCAAGAUGUUUUUGUCGUUGAGACGACCCCUCAAAUUUACCUGUAAACUGUAGGUGUCAUUUGUCGGUGUCGAGAGUUGUUGAAAAGGUCUAUUAGGAAAGCAUAGGUAUCAAGUAUAAAGACUGGAGAUUGUUAUCAUCCUAUUUGUAAGUUAAUAGGAAAGAUGCACGUGUUUGUGAUAUUCUAAAAUCUUUGAACGGCGUAGGUCUUUAUGUAGGAUUUAGUUUUUUUCUGUGAGUGCCAAUUUGGUAAGGUUGACAUUCCAAAAAAUGAUUUUCGCUCAUAAAACAUUGUCAUUUGUUUGAAGAUUGGUCUGUUGGAAGGACAAUCCAGACCAGAUGUUUGUUUCUGUACAUCACAUGUGAAUCAAGAUCUGCUUACACUUCGGC